AGACCACAGUAUUAUUUCCCACUAUGUCUACGGAAAUCCUCGGAAGACAGGAGGAGGUGAAGGAUUGUCAGACUGACGUACAAGCACGUAACCAUAGAGUGAACGUUUUUUAACCAACUUUAUGAAAACAGCAGCUGGUGCAUAACCAGGAGGACACAAGCAGUUGGACCCAUUUUGAUCAGCCUAGGUAGUCAUGAAGUUCUCAUGCCUGAUGAAGCGGAACCUCCACGAAACGCGUUGCAUUAUGGGAAUAAAGUAGAAGUUUUACUCUCACCUUGGUUUCAAGCGCCUCUUUGACUCUGCCUAUAUUGGAGGAAAUUGGAUUGGAUCUGUAUCUGUGAAAGGUGGAGCGGCUGCUGGAACUCUACGCUGUAUGCACUCUUAUCCAUGGUUGUACUUGGACGCAGUACAACCCGACUUGUGUCUCCACACAUUGACCGUAUCCAAGAAGUGCACCAGUACAGUCCACGGGAGUAAAUAGAAAGGCACAGUGUUUUAAGAAAAGAUAUUCAAGAAUUCUUUUUUCAUUAGAAAAAAAAAAGAAUGUACUAAAACAUAUACAUCAG